rnacentral:lncRNA from 1 species
UUCAUUAAACUGUUCUAUGUGCCUAACAUAUUAGUUACAAAGGACGCUUUUUAAUUACAAAGGUGAGACUGUAUUUGCUGGUAUGGCAGUGACAGCAUUUAGAUUGACAGCAAGUUCUUACUCCAACCAUAGGUGGUCCAAGUCUGGGUCUCAGAUGUGCCUGUACUGAGGGUCAAUUAAAGAAUAAGCACAAGGUUUACAGUGGCCCUACUACUUCUAUCAGCUCAUUAACUAUGAAUAAUGAAUUAUGUUUUACCAUAGGAGCCGGCACCAUGCAGUACAAUUGCACUGGAAGUCUGAAGUGCUGAUAUCAAGAUGUUUAUACAUUAGAAAUCUGCCUGUCUGAAUAUGGGCUGUUCAAAUUGGUUUAAUUAAAAUAAGAACCAACUUAAACCUUCAUCCAUCCCUCAGACCGGAUCACUUCUUCCCCCUCAUUUCUCACACUUUGGUGGUGGGUACCUUGGCCCUUUGCUGUAUCUGAUGCAUUUUGGGGCUUCCCCAGCAGUGACACUCAGUGACUAUUGUGCUUAAGGAAUUCCAAGUUUUGUACACCUGGGAGCUUUCCAAAUGCACUGUGCACUCUGGGAAAUCCAGCAUACACAAAGAAUCCCUCCUCCCUAAAACAAAUGCUCCUGUGUGGGAGUUACCAAGCCUUCUCCCUAAAAAUUUUUUUGGAGUAUAUGGAGCAAAUAAUUUUCCCAAGGGUGUUGCCGCCAUCAGAGGAGAAGAAGGACUUUCCCCAACAAAAGUAAGGACAGAGGAGAUGGACUGCAGGAGGAGACUGCCUCAAAAUAUUUGGAUAAUUCAGAUGACCUUCAAAUACUUAAUGGAUGGGCAUACUUUGGGGUCUAUGCAAAUUCUAAGAGCAAACAUUUGCCUAUUGUCCAGCAGAUCUCUUCCCUACAUAUCCAAGGCCUGAGUCAGACAGCAUCAAAGAAGGUUUGCCUCAUCUUUCCAAGUAAUAUCUAAACUGUGUUGUGUGGGCAUGUGUAUAGGAGGAUGGAGGAGGAUUUCUCCCCCAUCCCUGCAUAAUUAUGAGGCAAUAGGACCAUAACUUUUUUGGGCUUUUCCACUGAUUUCAAUGGAUGCAGAAUCAGAUAGUUGCACAGUAGUGGUGGGUCCUGGCUAAUGUGCUUAACAUGUCUUCUUCAGUUCUGAAUGUCUUCAGCACCGGAGCAUUGUCUUCAGUGGGAGUGGACGGUGUUCAUCACUUCACAAUACUUGUCCCUAAAACUGCUACAUGAGCAAUUUAAAAUGCACUCUUAUGAACCUUCAAACUCCUUUUAAUUAUUUAGGGAAUUUGGCUUGAGACAAAGCUCACCAGAAGAUAUAUUUAACAGAUGCUGCAAUACAGAACUCAUUUCUUUUGAAAUAAUCAUAUUAUUUAGUCUUCUAUAUUUCCUAUCCUAUUUAUGAAGCAAUGUGCUAAUGGUUAAUUAUGCUCACUAUUAAAAGUUCACACCUUUUUUCCAGUCUGAAUUUGUCUAGUUCAACUUUCAGGCAUGUGAUUGUGUUGUAUCUUUCUCUGCUAAAUUGAAGAUUAUUAAAUAUUUGUUCCCCAUGUAGAUACUUAUAGACUGUAAUCAAGUCACCCCUUAACCUUCUCUUUGUCAGAGCUCAAUUUAUUUAGCUUAUCACCAUAAGGCAUGUUUGCUAAUCCUUUCAUCAUAAAUUCUUAUAGCUCUUCUCUGAAACCUCGUCAAUCUAGCAAAGUCCUUCUUGCAUUGUGGGAAGAAGAAAUGGACACUGUAUUCUAGCAGCAAUCACACCAGUGCCAAAUACAGAUGUAAAAUAACCUCUCUACUGCUACUGGAGAUUCCCCUGUUUAUGCAUCCAAGGACAGUAUUCGUCCUUUUGGCCAUAACAUCACACAGAGAGCUCAUGUUCAGCUGAUUAUCCACCAUGACCCUCCAGCCCCA